CUUAGUGGCGGACGGGUGAGUAACGCGGUGGGCAACCUGCCCCGUGCCGGGGGAUACCGCCUGGAAACAGGCGCUAAUACCGCAUAAGCGCAUACAGCCGCAUGGCAGUAUGCGGAAAGCUCCGGCGGCACCGGGAUGGGCCCGCGCCCGAUUAGCCAGUUGGCGGGGUAACGGCCCACCAAAGCGACGAUCGGUAGCCGGCCUGAGAGGGCGGACGGCCACAUUGGGACUGAGACACGGCCCAAACUCCUACGGGAGGCAGCAG
rnacentral:rRNA from 1 species